AAAAAAAAAAGGCGUUGGAGACGGCUGGAGAUGCUCUUACACACGCUUUCAGUUUAACUCCCCAGCUCGUCGGCCGUCGGGUCGUCUAUCCCCCUCGUGUCCCAGCUCGGCAUCCCGUUCUCCUCUCCACGGCUCCGCGGCCCGGCAGACACGCGAAAGGCGUCGCACCGCACUGAUCUCUUCCACCCCAGAUUUGUUUUCUCGCGAGCCAUGGCAGCCAUGCAUCAGGAGGACAUCAAUGAAGGCCCUGAUUUGCAGGUCAUCGUGUCAGCUACUAUUGCAGAAAGCUGUAUCAUGACAUGCGACUGUAUGCACAUCCUCCCAACCGUGACCUGGAGAAAAAACAGAAACGCAAUGCUGCGAUAUGGUCAUGUUGUCUUGCCAGUUCCAUGAAUGGAAAUACUAAGGUGACCUCAUCCCAGCAUGCACAGAGACCAAGAGAACAUAUCUAAGAAUAUUUUAAUGCGAAAUGGCCAUGAAUGGCCCUCAUCGCACAAGGCAGCACAAGCAUUUUAAUUCUUACAGAGCACAUUAAGUAGGGGUAUGUAAUAUUGUAUUAACCAGUAAUGAAUAGUUAUUCCGAAAUUGAGACUUCUCCUGCCAGUGACAGUUGUGAAACAGAGAGUAUAAAAUCUACUAUGCAUAUUCUGUAAUAAUUAUAACCAGUACCUGCAAGUUGCAAAGUAUGCAGGGAGAGCGACAGCAAUGCCCUGCGCAUGAAGGAAAAAUUACUACAAAUAUUAGCAGAUUCUUUGGCCCUACCAACUUUCAUUAGUAAUUAGUUGUGUAAAGAUUCAUCACAAUAUAGGAGUUGUAGUAUUAUGUGUCUUAAAGGGCAGUUCUGCAAUGCAUUGUGCCCAUAUAGGACGUGAGGAGAGCAUCCUGUCCCAAUUUUAUAUUUUGGUAGUUCACUGAGGUUUGGAAUGAAAGUUACAGGACAAUUAUGGUUCCAUAUCCAUUUAAAAAUCAGUAUAUUCAAUUACCUCCGGGAUGUAGUGUAGAGCUAUAGCAAUAACCAAGUUAAGGCCAACACGAAAACCCUGAAAGGUAGAUAAGAUUAAUGGGGUGUACAACAUGAACUACUACUAUUGAUUAUUCAGUUUCUGGUUCAUACAUAUUCGAAAUGAUGACAUGUUAUCUGCUUAAAAGGAACAUGCUUCCAAACAGAAAAAAAAACAUAACAUGCUUGGAUGGAGAUGCAGCAUCUUUAGACACAUCACCUAUUGUGUGAAUUGUUUGUAUUUAAGACAUAAUUAUUUGUGAAUAGAGUUUGGAGGUGUUCAACAGUUCAAAUGGUUAACAAGGUACAUAAACUAAUAGAUAUAGUAUCUGUAAUUAUAUAUAGUUCUUGAGAAACAUCGAUUGAAAUUUUGACUGUACAUUUUAAAUCAAUGGAAAAGGAUAACAUAUACCAGUAUUUACUAAUUGCAUCAUAUCUGAUAAACAUACAAUAUGCUAGUAUCUUCUCAAGUCUUUAACCAUGAGUCAGAAACUUAAUACAUUGAGCAUGGUAUUAAGAGAAAACGUGUUACUCUAAAUAUGUAAAACAGUGAAUAAUACCUUUGCAGUUCCAAGAAACGCGGCAGUACCCACAGGGAAGUUUUGCAGACUCACACCAGCAACUGUUGACGUGAGAACAUUGUUAAUGAAUGCGAUCAUUAUAAAUAAUGAACUUGGUAGGAAAGGGCUCUAUCAUUACUUGUAUAUGCAUAUAUUGCCUACAUCAUUUCGAUAACUAUUUGCUUGGUUGUCUUAUUUUAAUUUUAUUGUCUGAAUUUAUAAUUUAUGAAAAACUUCUGCCCUUAUACUUAUCACAUAAUAAUAUUGACUUGGUUUUAGGUGUUCAAUAAAACAGUAACUAUCCCGGGUCAUAACACUAUUUUACACUGAACAUCCUGAAAUGUACUGCUAAUAUUGCUUGUUAAAUCAUGUCUAUGAUUUUAAAUUGGAUUAGCUAUUGAAUCUGAAUCAGUUAAUCUAAUUGCUUUGUACACUGUUGUAGAACAAGCCCUAAAUAUUUUGUUGGAGUCAAUAUGCUCUAGCUCAGUACUAGAAUGUUAGAUAUAAUCAUAUAGUAUAUGCAUUUGAAGAACAGCGAUCAUGAAGUCAGGAUUUCUGUAUAAUUAUUUAAAAGGCGUGUUUUGUCUUUCUGGGCUCAUGAUGAAAACACUGAUGUAUUUUUGGUAGUUUAUAUUACAGGUUUUGCUUAUGUCAUGUUGUACAUUGUUAUUUCUCAUUUGGAAGGUUGAGAGCACAGACAUCUAUCUAAUUUUAUGCAUACAUUGAAUGGUUCAUAAACUGCUGGACAUUAAAUACAUCAACUUAAAUGUACAAAUAAUUUGAGCAGAACAUAAUUUAUAGGGUACCAAACUGCAUUGGACUUACCAAUUGCGGUGACAAUUACACUAAAGAUAACUCUUCUUCGGUGUCUCAUCAUAAGUUCCUGCCGUGCUGUGCUAUUAACCGUCUUCUUCCCCAAAUGGAAAACAGAGAGGAGAAUCAUAUUUAGUCUUUUCGAGAAACGCUAACUGAAAAAGUAUGUUAGCAAAGCUGAGGGAAGCUAUACUUGUUUGUCAUUUUCAUCUGGCGGACUGCAUUCUGGCUCAGGGAAGAUGUCGGCAAUUGCUGAAAAUAGAAGUGCUCCAGCAAAAAACUGCAAAGCAUAGGCUAAAAAGAUAAGAAAUGGUACAGAUGCCUGAAAAAUCAUCUCGCUUACUCUCAGUCUCACCCAAAGGUUCCCUUUCAGAAAACCAAUCGCAUUGACAGCAUCAUAAGCCAAGUCAAAGAAAGACAUGCUCAACAUGAGUCCAGUAGCAAAUCCCUAAAAGGAGUCGUCAAAAUGAUUGUUAAAUGUUGGUUCAUAUACAAAUAAACUUUGUUGUUUUGGGUGUGAUGCUUUGGUCAGCAUUAAGUAGAUAGUUGUAGCGUUUUACCUGUAAUAUCCCAAGUGUUCUGUUGUUUGGUGCAUGAUUUAAUAUUGCAAGUAAUGCACCUGUUGAAGCAUAAUAAAAUAUCAUUGGCGAAAUGAGUAGCAAAACGUUAUCUGACUAGUAUACCAUUCCAACAUUCUGGAAAGCAAAUAUGGGAAAACACCCAUUGAGAAAUAUGUGAUCUAUAGUGCAUCAAAUUAAACAGGUCAUGUGGUGAUGAAUAUGUGAUAUAUUAUGAACAAAGGGCAGAAGGGGAGGGAUGAAGAAAGAUGUAUAAAUGCGUACCGAGGGAGGUGCUCAAGCCACCUACGAGAGACAGAGUGAGAGCAACAGCAAUUUUGGGAUCCAUAGUAUGUACUGAGCGACGGACUUAACUAUUCCCUAUGCACAGUAGCUUUUCGUUGAACUGGAAGAACAGUAGAGGUAUGGGGAUGGUUAGAAUGCUAAACUGGGCAAGACAGUAACAGCGGCUGUUGUGACGGAGAUGUAUGUGGCCUUUAUAUACAGGCUUGGGAGGGGCCGCUAUGAUGUAAGGUACCUGUGGGCGACAGGUGAUGAUGCAACUGAAUGAGAAGAAUAGGAAGGUGAUCAAGUGGAGCAGGAGGCCUCAAUGGUUGACGCGGUGAUAUAUAUAUGUAGCUUGAACAGUUGCUCUGGUGAGUUGAGGGGGGCAAGUUUGGAAUGACUUGGCAGAUGAUUGCUUGCUUGGUUGAGGGUAUGCCUGCUGGUAAGGUCAGGCUGUGAUGUAACUCUCUCCUAGAUUUAUUCUUUAGACGGGAAGCAGCUAUUAAGGUCCAGGUAUCUUACAUGCUGAGAGGCAAAGCCUCCUUUUGUGUAGUACAACACAAACUAUAGGAAGUACAUAUAUAUAAGUACAAGCCUCUUGCUGUAAUGUAACUUUGUCUCUUGGGAAAGUGGAUGAUGCAAGACCUUUUUGUUGUCGGCAA